CUUUUUCAGUGCUAUAACCCGGGAGCUGGUGCAGAGGCAAAGCGCAUGCUGCUGGAUAAAUUUUUAGAUGUGGAAUUUCUGGAUCUAAUGGUCACCAAUUGUUUCUGCAUCAUUUAUUGAAUAAUCCAGCCUUCUUCCACUGAUUUGAAAUGGCAACAACUGUUCUCUUGUUAGGUAGGGUGUAACUUUCCACAGGAAAGAAGGUAGAAGUAACUUUGGAGCCCUUUGUAAUAAGCAUGCCUGAGGAAGCAGAAGGUGGAAGGAAACAGUAUGUGGGCCCUACCUAGGGCCAAAGAUGGGAAGGAAGAUAGGAGGAGAUGGAAGAUUUGAGUGAGCCAGUGGAAGACAGGAAAGAAGGCUUCCCUCCCAGGGCAUAUUUGCCACCUAGUGACCAUAUUGAACUGAACGGUGGGACAACUGAACAACCGGUCGCUAU